rnacentral:rRNA from 1 species
AUCGAACCCGGAGAUAGCUGGUUCUCCUCGAAAUAGCUUUAGGGCUAGCCUCGAUACAGAUUUGCGGAGGUAGAGCACUGAAUUUCCUAGGGGGCGUCAAAGCCUACCGAAGAAUAUCAAACUCCGAAUGCCGCGUAAUCGAUUAUCGGGAGUCAGACUGCACGAGAUAAGUUGGGCGGUCAAAAGGGAAAGAGCCCAGACCUACAGUUAAGGUCCCAAAGUGCGCGUUAAGUGGAAAAGGAUGUGGGAUUUCGAAGACAACCAGGAUGUUGGCUCAGAAGCAGCCAUACAUUCAAAGAGUGCGUAAUAGCUCACUGGUCGAGAGGUCCUGCGCCGAAAAUGUCCGGGGCUGAAACGCGCCACCGAAACUAAGGAACCGAAAGGUUGGUAGAGGAGCAUUGCAUGCGGAAAGAAGCAGUACCGUAAGGAGCUGUGGACUGCAUGGAAGAGAGAAUGCCGGAAUGAGUAGCGAGAUAGAGGUGGGAAUCCUCUAGGCCGAAUAUCCAAGGUUUCCAGGGUAAAGCUGAUCUGCCCUGGGUGAGUCGGGACCUAAGGUGAGGGCGAGAGCCGUAGCCGAUGGACAACAGGUUGAUAUUCCUGUACUGCAGUAUAACAGAACUGUGGGGACACGUAAGGAGAGCGGGAGCCGGGAAUGGAAAGCCCGGUACAAGCGAGGUACCAGUAUGGUAGGAAAAUCCGCCAUGCAAUGGGAAGACGUGAUGUGGAGCGAAAUCUAGUAGCGAAGCCCGUGAGCCAUGCGUCAAGAAAAGCCGCUAUUGUUUAUAUUGUACCCGUACCGUAAACCGACACAGGUGGAUGAGGAGAGAAUCCUAAGGCCGGCGGAAGAAGCAUUGUUAAGGAAUUCGGCAAAAUGACCCCGUAACUUCGGGAGAAGGGGUGCCUGCGAGAGCAGGCCGCAGAGAAUAGGCUCAAGCAACUGUUUAGCAAAAACACAGGUCUAUGCGAAACCGAAAGGUGAGGUAUAUGGGCUGACGCCUGCCCGGUGCUGGAAGGUUAAGAGGAGAGGUUAGCGCAAGCGAAGCUUUGAAUUUAAGCCCCAGUAAACGGCGGCCGUAACUAUAACGGUCCUAAGGUAGCGAAAUUCCUUGUCGGGUAAGUUCCGACCCGCACGAAAGGCGUAAUGAUUUGAGCACUGUCUCGACAAUGCAUCCGGUGAAAUUGAAGUACCAGUGAAGAUGCUGGUUACCUGCGCCAGGACGGAAAGACCCCAUGGAGCUUUACUCCAGUCUGGUACUGGGACUCGGUAUUGCAUGUACAGGAUAGGUGGGAGGCUAGGAGAUGGUAACGCCAGUUGCCAUGGAGCCGCUGUUGGGAUACCACCCUUGCAGUAUUGGGUUUCUAACCAGCCGCCGUGACCCGGCGGUGGGACAAUGCCAGACGGGGAGUUUGACUGGGGCGGUCGCCUCCGAAAGGGUAUCGGAGGCGCCCAAAGGUUCCCUCAGAAUGGACGGAAACCAUUCGAAGAGUGCAAAGGCAGAAGGGAGCUUGACUGCGACACCGACGG